GAACACGCGAAGUCGCCGCUGGUGAAGCGAACGAGCAGUGGCAGCGAUUCGUCUAGGUCUGGUUCCCGCGAACACAGUGGGAACUUUCAUAAGAAGUCGUGAGGAGGAUGAGGAGGAUGCUACACGCGGCUACGAUGCUGUUGCCACGGUGAUGAUGCUGUUGCCGCGGUGAUGCUGAGCAGUGGAACAGAGUCUACUCAUCGUUCGGUAGUCUGCUCUCCCUACAUCGGCUGGCUGCAUGAGCGCUGCUUCACACACACACGGUGUGCACAAUGUGCCAAAGUUGUCGCCCCACCUGUGUGUGUGUGUGUGCGUGCGUGCGUGCAUGCAUUCCUGCGUGCAUACGUGUAUGUGAGUGUGGUUGGAUGGUUGGAUGAGUGAGAUGGGUAGGUUUGGCUGGAUGAAAUAUGGCUGAGUGAGAGAGUUGGGUGGGUGGGAGAGUGAGUGAGUAAGUGAGUGAGUGGAUGGUUAGAUGGUUGGGCAGGUUGAACGUGAAUGCACCUACAACUGUGUGGAGGUGUGUAGUGUGUCCGUCUCUAUGCACAGAUGAUGAAAACCUUACGAUAGAAAUGUAGGACGAGGAGCUAGCGUGACCCUCGUGUAUAAUAAGCUAACAUGGCUGUGACAUCCCGUAGCUGUGGCUCACGAAAUAAAGAAAUACUCGUGACAGACGAUUUCAGGGGCUGCGCGGUGGUGUACUGCAGUGUGGUGCGGGUACGUCCCUGCCUGUGUGUGCGUCUGUACACUACGAUGUUUCACUGAAGAUGUUUAUCAUUAGUGUUUUCACCUUUUAUUUACAUACAGUUGACAGCGUUGUCUGACUCGCGUGUAGCUAUGCUACCGGUCUAGUUAUAGCUAGUAACGUGAACAUGUAGGGAAUUUGAUUCUAAGGGCAGCUGCAAUGGCAUAUUAUAUGGGUUACUAGACAUUUUUUGCAAGUGUAUCUUAAUAAAGGCAGUUUGAUAUUGAAGUAA